GAUGAACGCUGGCGGCGUGCCUAAUACAUGCAAGUCGAGCGAACAGACGAGGACCUUGCUCCUCUGACGUUAGCGGCGGAGGGGCGAGUAACACGUGGAUAACCUCCCUACUAGACUUGGAUAACACCGGGACACCGUAGCUAAUACCUGAUAAUAUAUUGAUCUGCAUGCUUCCAUAGUGAAAGACGGUUUUGCUGUCACUUAUAGAUGGAUCCGCACCGCAUUAGCUAGUUGGUAAGGUAACGGCUUACCAAGGCAACGCUGACUAGCCGACCUGAGAGGGUGAUCGGCCACACUGGAACGGAGACACGGUCCAGACUCCUACGGGAGGCAGCAGUAGGGAAUCUUCCGCAAUGGGCGAAGGCAUGACGGAGCAACGCCGCGUGAGUGAUGAAGGUCUUCGGAUCGUAAUACUCUGUUAAGAGGGAAAAACAAAUGUGUAAGUAACUAUACACGUCUUGACGGUACCUAAUCAGAAAGCCACGGCUAACUACGUG
rnacentral:rRNA from 1 species